rnacentral:rRNA from 1 species
UGGGGAAUAUUGGACAAUGGGCGCAAGCCUGAUCCAGCCAUGCCGCGUGAGUGAUGAAGGCCCUAGGGUUGUAAAGCUCUUUCACCGGUGAAGAUAAUGACGGUAACCGGAGAAGAAGCCCCGGCUAACUUCGUGCCAGCAGCCGCGGUAAUACGAAGGGGGCUAGCGUUGUUCGGAUUUACUGGGCGUAAAGCGCACGUAGGCGGACUAUUAAGUCAGGGGUGAAAUCCCGGGGCUCAACCCCGGAACUGCCUUUGAUACUGGUAGUCUUGAGGUCGAGAGAGGUGAGUGGAAUUCCGAGUGUAGAGGUGAAAUUCGUAGAUAUUCGGAGGAACACCAGUGGCGAAGGCGGCUCACUGGCUCGAUACUGACGCUGAGGUGCGAAAGCGUGGGGAGCAAACAGG